rnacentral:rRNA from 1 species
GUUUCAUUUAAAAUUUAAUUAGAAUUUUAUUUUUUAGUUAAAAAGCUAAAAUAUAUUCAAAAGACGAGAAGACCCUAUAAAUCUUUAUUAUUUAGUAGUUUUUAAUUUAUUUUGWUUUUUUUUAUUAUAAAUUUAUUAAUUAAUUUUAUUGGGGUGAUAUUAAAAUUUAAAUAACUUUUAAUAAUUUUUAUCAUUUAUUUAUGUUUAGGUGAUCCAUUAUUAAUGAUUAAAAAAUUAAGUUACUUUAGGGAUAACAGCGUGAUUUUUUUGGAGAGUUCUUAUCGAUAAAAAAGUUUGCGACCUCGAUGUUGGAUUAAGAUUCAUAUUUAAAUGUAGAAGUUUAAAUAUAAAGUCUGUUCGACUUUUUAUUCUUACAUGAUCUGAGUUCAAACCGGUGUAAGCCAGGUUGGUUUCUAUCUUUGAUUUAAUAAAAUAUUUUAGUACGAAAGGAAUUAAUAUUUAUUUUUAAAAAAUUAUUUUAUGAAU